rnacentral:rRNA from 1 species
UAAGCGGAGGAAAAGAAACUAAUAGUGAUGCCUCUAGUAACGGCGAGUGAAGCAGGCAAAGCCCAACUUUAAAAUCUGGCGCUUUCAGCGUCCGAGUUGUAGUCUCGAGAAGCAUGGCUCGUGUCGGUCCGCGUCAAACUGGUUCGGAUGCCAGGUCAUAGAGGGUGACAAUCCCGUUGGCAACGCGGCCUCCCGAUGCAUCAGCAGUCUGCUCUCCAAGAGUCGAGUUGUUUGGGAAUGCAGCUCUAAUUAGGUGGUAAAUUCCAUCCAAGGCUAAAUAUCGGCGGGAGACCGAUAGCGAACAAGUACCGUGAGGGAAAGAUGAAAAGCACUUUGGAAAGAGAAUGAAAGAGUAUGUGAAAUUGCUGGAAGGGAAACGCUUGAAGUCAGACACGCGCGGGGGUAUUCAGCUCGGUUCGCCGGGUGCAUUUGCCCUCAUUGCGCGCCAGCAUCGGUUCGUGGGGCCGCAGCAGCGAGGUGGCAAUGUGGCCGUCUCCGGGCGGUGUUACAGGCCGCCGUUGUGGUCGGACCCGUGGACCGAGGAUCGCAGCGCGCCGCAAGGCAGCCCUCGAGGGGGUAGAGCGCUUAGGAUGCUGGCGGAAUGGCUUUAAACGACCCGUC